rnacentral:rRNA from 1 species
UACGAAGGGGGGCUAGCGUUGCUCGGAAUCACUGGGCGUAAAGCGCACGUAGGCGGAUUGCUAAGUCAGGGGUGAAAUCCCGGGGCUCAACCUCGGAACUGCCUUUGAUACUGACAAUCUCGAGUCCGAUAGAGGUGGGUGGAAUUCCUAGUGUAGAGGUGAAAUUCGUAGAUAUUAGGAAGAACACCGGUGGCGAAGGCGGCCCACUGGAUCGGUACUGACGCUGAGGUGCGAAAGCGUGGGGGAGCAAACAGG